CAAUUACUUCAGCCACACCUUAAAGGCGACACAGAAAAAUACGGAUUCAAUACAAGCACUUAUGAAAUUUAUUAUCAAGAUGAGAACAAAGAAAGAAACAUGUGGUGUCCUACCAAUGUCUGAAUGGUUUAUCAGGUGCUGAGUUCCUUUCUUGAAUUGCAACCAUCCAUUUGAUGGAGGAUG